rnacentral:rRNA from 1 species
CCUACGGGUGGCAGCAGUGGGGAAUAUUGGGCAAUGGGCGCAAGCCUGACCCAGCAACGCCGCGUGAAGGAUGAAGGCUUUCGGGUUGUUAACUUCUUUUCUUAGGGACGAAGAAAGUGACGGUACCUCAGGAAUAAGCCACGGCUAACUACGUGCCAGCAGCCGCGGUAAUACGUAGGUGGCAAGCGUUAUCCGGAUUUAUUGGGUGGAAAGGGCGUGUAGGCGGGAAAGGAAGUCAGAUGUGAAAACUCAGGGCUCAACCCUGAGCCUGCCUUUGAAACUGUUUUUCUUGAGUGCGGGAGAGGCAAGCGGAAUUCCGUGUGUAGCGGUGAAAUGCGUAGAUAUAAGGAGGAACACCAGUGGCGAAGGCGGAUUGCUGGACAGUAACUGACGCUGAGGCGCGAAAGCGUGGGGAGCAAACAGGAUUAGAUACCCGAGUAGUC